GAUGAACGCUGGCGGCGUGCCUAAUACAUGCAAGUCGAGCGAAUGGAUUGAGAGCUUGCUCUUAUGAAGUUAGCGGCGGACGGGUGAGUAACACGUGGGUAACCUGCCCAUAAGACUGGGAUAACUCCGGGAAACCGGGGCUAAUACCGGAUAACAUUUUGAACCGCAUGGUUCGAAAUUGAAAGGCGGCUUCGGCUGUCACUUAUGGAUGGACCCGCGUCGCAUUAGCUAGUUGGUGAGGUAACGGCUCACCAAGGCAACGAUGCGUAGCCGACAUGAGAGGGUGAUCGGCCACACUGGGAAUGAGACACGGCCCAGACUCCUACGGGAGGCAGCAGUAGGGAAUCUUCCGCAAUGGACGAAAGUCUGACGGAGCAACGCCGCGUGAGUGAUGAAGGCUUUCGGGUCGUAAAACUCUGUUGUUAGGGAAGAACAAGUGCUAGUUGAAUAAGCUGGCACCUUGACGGUACCUAACCAGAAAGCCACGGCUAACUACGUGCCAGCAGCCGCAGUAA
rnacentral:rRNA from 1 species